AGGGAGCAUAGCCAUUACUUUAAAGGCACAAGAAUAAACAGAUGACAUCAUGGCCAAAAAAGGAACCAUUGGAGAGCAAAACAAAUAGUGUUACAGCAUUGAAAUGACUCUGUUUGGUGGUUAGAUGAAAUGCUUUGCAUUAGUCAGCUGAAUUGAAAACAUAAUCAAACAGACUAAAUUGAAGACAGCCCCAUGAAACUGUGAGAGCCAAACUGAGCUAUGUGAGACAUGUACAACAUAAAUCAAAUAUGGAAUUUCAGACUCCAUACACAGUGGUGAAUAACUUAUCAUGACCUUAUAUGAUUCGUAAUUUUAUAUAAAAGAAAUCCUGGAAAAGCAGAAGAUCUGAGAAACUUAUAUCAUGUGAGCAUUCAGGUUAUGAUCAACACAUAUAGGCAAAGAGGAGUAGGAACAGCUUGUAUUGCCACUAUCUAUGCAGUCUCACCUCUAUGGAUAAAAAGAGGACUUCAGUUUUGAAAGCUCUUGUUGUAACCUAUUUCUGUUUGUAGUGAUGUGGUAAUUGUUGGUGAAGAGUGUUUUCAUUGGGCAGAGGACAAGUAGCAGCAUGACAGUUCAGAAGAAACUUCUCCCACUCUAUUCAAAGCAUACACUGUAUACUGGAAGUGCGUGGAACAUCUGCCUAAAGGAAGUGGGCAAACUCUGUCUGUGCAGAAAGAGACUGGGCUGGAAUUUCUCAGGCCCCUCCUGCCUGCCUGCAGAAGAAGGGAGUUAGCUAAAUGAUUACAGAAGAGCCUGAGACAAAACAACAAACAGACAAAUGUACAAAUUAUCUUUCCAUCCAUCUCCUAAUUGCUUGUUGAAAACCGUCUAGGACUUGGUGAUCAAAUGCAGCACUGUUGCUAGAAUGAUGGUGAUUCAUGCAUCAGAAAUUCUCAUCCGCAAAAACAAUCAGCAACAUUGACAUACUGGGGGAUGCAUGAACAUGAGAAAGAGACAACGUUCUCAUUUAUGUCUCCACUCCGAAUCCUGCAAAUCCUCCACAUGCAGAGCUCUGACUUCUAAACUUUAUGAGCCUUGUUUACUUUUACAAUGGGCCAAACAUAUAAACACACUUCCACAUUAGGGCUGUUGGUAUGUAGAUCUAAUUCCAGAUUCAGGCUUAAAGACCGAGGAUCUCCUCAAAAGAAAACAAACAGUGACUUCUUCUGUCUGUCAGAUCUCACGAAGAAAUGUGUUUGUCCACAUACUGUCCAAUUUUGACCAGCAGCCAAUGAUUUACAAACAAAUCCUAACCGUCUUGAGAGCUAACAACAUUAACUCUUGCUGCAAAUGGAAGUGAAUUUUUGCUGUACUGCAAAAAUGGUAAGAUUCCACACAUUUGAAUCAGUGGUGGGCAGUUUGUGGCACAGGUGUCGCAAGUGGCAUGGACAGCCUCUGCAUGUGGCGUGUAGAAGACUGGGGAGGGGACAGACAGCCAAGUGACACAUAAGGAAGGAAACAGACAGCAGGGCAUCAGAUUGGGUAGGGCUGCAUGCAGGGCUCAGAGCAGAAAACAGAGCAACAGAUCAGGCAAGGGAAGGGGUCAGGAAUGGCACAUGGGGAAGGGUUUGGGCUAAUUUAUGGCACAUCUGCCAAAAUGGUUGGCCCCCAGUGUUUUAAAUGAAUAAAAAUCACCAAAGGCCUCCAUCUACUUUAUUACUAAGACAUUGGUUUGGAAGUCACAGGAUCAUAAGAUCAUAAACUCUUAGGGCUGGAAAGAAUUAGAUCAGUAGUUUUCAACCUUUAUUCAUUUGUAGACCCCUAAAAAAUUUGAAUGGAAGUGUGGACCACUUUGAAAAUUUUGAAUGGAGGUGCGGACCCCUUUGAAUUUUAAGUGUGGGUAUCACAUACUUUUGAUUGAUCGUAGUCAUCUUUUGCAGACCCCUUAGACAUAGUCUGCAGACCCCCUAGGUCAGACAUAUAAGCAGGGCAGUUGCUGUGCUGGGCUAUUUUUGGGCAUCCCCACCUCCCCACUACCCGUACCAAAGACAGCACCUGGGGAUAUUGCCCUGGUACCUCCCUUUCACUUACACUACUGAGGUCAGUUCCUGAACUGAUGCAGGAGUCACUAUCCCAAACCCACCUCAGAUCCUGGCCCAAGCCCAUCUACUUCUUGCAAACCUCCAACGGAGGAGACUCCACAGCUUCCCUAACCAGUAAGAAAUGUGUUUAUUUUGAAGUUACCCAAUGACUGAAAGGUUUUGAAACACUUGAUGCUGAAGUUUAAUGGAGGCAAACUACCACACAUUUGGAAACAUAUCCAAAUUGGAUUUUCAAGACUGAAAUCUUACAAAAAUAUCCUCCCUUGUGAAAUUUUUGGUCUUUUCUACUUCAGUCAUAUCAGAAAUACUGAGGAAGGUGCCUUUCCUCAUCAGAGUUUGUGCAUUUGUUUCCAGGUCUGGGUGAAAUAUGAAAGAACAGGGAAUAUUAGCAAAAAAGCCAAAAAAGACAAAUUGUGGUUGAUGAAACUAACCAAACCAUUUUACCCUACAGAAGGUUGUUUUUAGUUAUAAAAGGAAAAAAAAAAUUAUGAUCUGUAUAAAAAGAGUUUUCAGUGUAUCUGGUUCAGGGAUACAUCUCUAUUUAAGCAAGAGAAUCAGGAAAAUCUUGUCUAAUGGGUUGAGCGUAGCACUGGAGUUGAGGGUUUUGUUCUAUUAUUAUUAUUAUUAUUCCACUGACUUUAAGUGUGACCUUGAGUAAAGGUACCACAACUGCCUCCUCUGUACAAUGGGAACAAUAAUAUUUAUUGACAUUUAUUAAAAAGCAUGGAUGAAAAGUUUUUUAAUCUAAUGCAAUAUCAGUAACAUGAUAUGUUAGCAUAUAAUACCAGUAAUACUAGAUAUUCAUAAUGGAAUAUAUUCAGGAAGUUGGAAGAGCCAAUACUCUUAAUAUCUUUGUGGUUGUUACGUGGCACUUAUUUGGCCAGAUAAGUGUGCAAGCAAAUAAGUGAGGGGUAAAUGGCUUCUAAUGGGGAAACUGAGCAAAACGUUUUUUUCUGUUACAUUAAAAGUCCUAUUUCAUGUGCGUAACAAGGAACCCCUGCCCUUGUUAGUGGGAAGGUGGGGAAGGGUAGGAAACCUGGGCUAGAAAGGGCAGCAAGUAGUAGCUGCUCAGGUGGACUGAGCCUAGGACUAAAAACACCAAGCAGUUAACAAUACAAUUAGCUGCACCCAGCCCUGUGGUGCAGAAGAUCUGCUCACAUGACUGGAAGAAGGCUGGGCUCGGGCAUAUCAGCCCAGUCCCUGACAAUACCGGGGCAGUUGGGCUCCAGCUGUGGGAGGACAAGAUGCUCCCAAGAGAGAGCUAGCUACAGUAAGGAGCAGCCAGCUUGAGAGAAGUACUUUGGGGCAAGGCUUGAGCCCCAAAGUCCCAGACAGGCUUAUGUUUAAGUUAGAGCAGGUUAGGUUGCUGUUUUAUGUUGGGCUUUUUCUACUGGAGGACUGGAUUGUAGAUACAGGGGAGGAGGAGGCUAUGGGUAGGGGUACCUGGCUGGCACUCCCCACUACAAGAGACAAAAGCUAGCCCCAAACUAGAGGGCCUGAGACUGGUGGGGUGAAACUGAAACCCCAGGAGGGGCUCCUGCCAAUCAGGGCCAAUGCCUGGAAGCUGAGGUCUUAGACAGUGGAUCAAAACUGAGUGUGCAACUAGAGUAAAAGGUGGCCAAGGCUGUGACAGAUGAAGCCCCAACAGGUGCUCAAUGCCUCCUUGAACGGGGAAGUGCUCAGGGGGGUUACACAGACCCUAGGUGGGGCAGAUCUACCUGUGAAGGCAGAGCUGACAUCAAAGGAACCAGCAAGGCUACCUCUGGCCCCAGGGACUGGCUUCCCAACGAACCAAAAGAUAACAUUGAAGUCACGGCAGAUGAGAAAAUGGACAUGAGAUGGGGCUGGAAAAGAGCUGACAGGUGGGUCAGGCCACAGGACCACGCACCAGGUGCCAGGGUGGUAGACUCCCAAGCCCUGCUACAAUGUGCCACAGAAAUACUGGGGAAGCACCUGACAUGAAAGUGGAAGAUCAUUGUGUUGGGCACUAACUCUUUUUUUCAUUCUUUCUUUCCAGCUACUCAGAACUUACAAACACAAGUUAGUUCAAAGCGGUGAACCUUUUUCCAACUAUAGUCAGAUGCUAUUCCAGUGUGAAGUAAAUGGAGCACUUCACACCCAUUCACUAAAGUAAAUUUAUUUUGAUUAAUCUUAUACACUUGUCAAAAGCUGUGCCAAGAUGUAUAAACAAACCAUUUUCUUGGAUUGUUUCAAGCUAAUCAUAUUAACUUAUUUGCUCUAUUGGCUUUGGGGAGUUUCCAAGUGGAAAUGAUUGAAGUUGGGUCCAAAAACAGCUUUAUUUCAUUGCCAGUUCUGGUGCUAAUGUGUGCCUCAUUGGACUUCUAGUGUCCAUGUCAACAGCCUGAAAGCUUUCGUAUUCGAGGAUUUCAGCAUCAGCUCAUCGGCAGCUUCUUUCUGUGAAAGGUCCUGUUUAAUAAGUCUGUUAUUUAGAAUGUAAGAUAUCAACAAUAAACACUUCAGUUGGCAUAAAUUAAUGUUGCUCCACUGAAAUACAGUUGAGGAUAUAGCCCUGGUUUUAAAUCAUGACUACCUACACAGAUAUAAAACAUAUAUGGUACGGCUUCAAUCGUACACUUAGCACAUACAGGAGCAGAAAGAUGCUAAGAAAGAACAGAAGGUGAAUGCUGGAGGAGGAGGAGGAGGAAAUACUGUCAACAUGCUGAAGAGGGUAAACAUUAAUUAUGAUUAAGGUUGAUGUUUAGGAUGGCAAAAGAUGAGAAAAUUCCUGGUUUGUCAAUGCACAAGUCAUCAUUUUUAAAAGAUAAUAAAAAAGUCACCGCUCAUAAAUUGUAAGAGAAAAAUACCUUUUAUUCUGAAAUUUAAAGCCAACUUGGGCAGUGCACAUCAUAUUUUGCUCUAUUUUGAAUAUACAGAGAGCUGAGUUGAAGUUUCAUCAAAUAAUAGCAAGGGGCUCUGGCUACAAAGACUAGGCCUUUUGAUUGAAAAGAAUUCCCAAGACUCAUAGUUGUUAUAAUGCAAGUCAUGGUUGUGGCAAAUGCAGAGCUCUAAUUUUGGGGAAGCCCUGAAAGUGACAUUCAAAGAGAGUGCUAAGUGGUGCCCAGAUCUUUUGUUGGCCACUUGAACAGCAAGAGAUCAGUUAGAAGGAAAGCAACCCUCAGAAUGGACUGUAAUAUUCCAAGUAAUAAUACCUAUCUUUAUUUAAUCUGUAGACCUCUAGAGCAUGUUUGAAAGAGGGGUAAGUGUCAUCUCCAUUUUAAAGAUGGAGAAGCAAGCACAAAAAUGGUGAAGUGACUUACCCAACGUCACCCAGAAGGCCACUUACGACACGGCCUGUAAGAUUCCAACAAAAUCUGUGACUUCGAAUACCUUAGCACAAGGACAUGAAAAAGGAGAGAGCCCAGAAGGCCAAUAAGUAGAACCAACCAUAACUGAACCUAGAAUUCCUGAGUUGGUCUGAUACUACAUUUCUGUGAUUCUAAUACUACACAGAAGAACUGGUUACUUUUCCCUUUUUUAUUCAUAACAAAUCUCAGAAGACUGCCUUUUUCCACCCAAAAUGUUCAAUGUUGAAUGCAGCUGGGUUGGAUGGAUCCAACUCCAAAGGCACUGCAACCUCAACCAAGUGGCAGGUAAAGCAUCUUUGCCCUUGAAACAGAGAAGAAAGAGUCAAGGAAGGAAAAGGAGAGAAAUCCCAGCUUACAGCCUACUUUCCGCUGUGGAAAGACUUGAAACUUCUGAAAUUUGUGGCUCCAGGAUUGGACUCUUAAGUAACCUCAAGACCCACCAAAAAGCUGUGGUAGAGAGCAUCCUCGAAUCAAGGGACUGCUGACAACAAUGCCAUUCACUUUUAAUAAGAGACAAAUUCCAUUAAUAUUACUUUUUGAUGAAAAAUAUUUCAACCAUCACCAUAUUUGUUGCUCUUCAUCCUGCCACUUGGAUCCCCGUUGGCGGAAUUUAAGAUCCACUGAACUUUCAUGUUUAGAAAAUGCCUAGAGUGCCGACUGCUCCACUGAAAAUAAACAUAAAAUAAUAUUUUUCCCUUCAAA